CCCUUCCUCAAAAUCAAUUAAAACAAAAGCCAAUUUUUUUCACAUCUCUCUCCCUAUCUCUUGUGUGUGCAGCCUCUCCCACAAAUCUAGAUUUUUAUAAACCCUAAAUCCCUAAUUCGAAAAUUGCUUUGGCUCCACCAUCCCUCCACCACCGCAUGGAAACUGAUGAGAUAUCACUUUAUGGGGAAGGUAACAUCAUCUACACAUCUCCUCUUCCAAUCAAAGCUCCUCUGUUUCUUUGUUUUACAUCUUCACCACUCUCUUUCUCGCUCUCUACACCUCUCUUUUCUUACCCUUCUUUCUAUGGAGAACACAAGUAUGCCCUCCCAACCCAUCGUUCCACUUGCUCUUCCUAUGUCUUCUUCACAGAUCAAGUUGAGAUGGAAAACUGUAAUGGAGUAGUUGUAGUCUCAACAAUCUUCAAUCACCAAGACAAAAGAGGGUACUUUUUGAAGAAGGCUGAAAGUGCUACUUGUUUUUGUUUUAUUUUAUUUGUCCCAUAUAUGGGUGUUAUGUGCAAAUGAAGGACUUGAUGAUAUUGUUGGAAGUGCAUACUAUGUUGCACCUGAAGUCCUAUAUACGUUGUAUAGUCUACAAGCAAGAAAAUAGAGAUAUGGAAUCAACUCCUUAUUAGAGUCU